UACGAAGGGGGCUAGCGUUGUUCGGAAUUACUGGGCGUAAAGCGCAUGUAGGCGGCGAUUCAAGUCGGGGGUGAAAUCCCAGGGCUCAACCCUGGAACUGCCUUCGAUACUGUCUUGCUAGAGUGUGGAAGAGGUAAGUGGAACUGCAAGUGUAGAGGUGAAAUUCGUAGAUAUUUGCAAGAACACCAGUGGCGAAGGCGGCUUACUGGUCCAUUACUGACGCUGAGAUGCGAAAGCGUGGGGAGCAAACAGG
rnacentral:rRNA from 1 species